UGUCCAAAAAAAGCAUGGUAUAACUAUGUUCAAAAAAUAUGGUAUUACCUUGGUAAAUGUCCAAAAACAUGAUAUUGCCAUGUUACAAGUCCAAAGCAACAUGGUAUUACCUUGGUACAUUUUAGUAAAUCUUGGCUGUCUAUUUAACAACAAGGUCUGUUGACUAUCUGAAUAUCAACUUUCUAUAAUUAAGGUGAAUGUAAAAUCUCUUCCGCUGUUGGAGGACACAGUGCUGGUUUUUAUCGAUGAGAAAUACAACACAAACUCUGCGCAGGUGGCCCGGAGGUUCAACAUUUAGAGAGGAUCCCAAGAGCUUCAGCCCUCAAUGCAUAAGAGCCAACUUCCAGAUAUUCGAUUUUUCACUUAUGGAUGAUGAAAUGGACGCCAUCAAAAAGCUGAACAAAAAGUCUGUUUUGUGGAACUUCUGAUGAUUGGACCACGGAGAAAAUCAGCCAGUCCUGGGGAUUGGUGGAUGUGGAGAGGUCUGCUUACUUAAGGGGACGUUGUUGAUCAGAUGUAGCUGGCUCCCAAGGCCGUGGUGGCCUUUUUGUACUCUGUAGUGUGUUUCUUCAUUGUUAACAUGUGGUAGUGAAAGCCAAUGUCUAAUUUAUCGAAGUGAGUGACUGUUUCCUCCAAAGUCAAUAUGUGAUUGAUCUUAAAGAGGAAGCCGUAGGAAAUGGAGGCCUGUUUCUUUUAUUGUGUGUUGAGUGUUUCCUUGUUUCUGGACUAGUUAGGGAGGUAGGGAAGAAUUAUGUAUUUUAUUUAUUUAUUUAUUGAUUGAUUGAUUAGGGAAGUACAUUUUCAACUGGGGAGUUAGAAUCACUUUUGUUUGUUAUUUUGGCCACAAUCAUUUCUAAAGUCUUUGCUUCACUCUUACAAAGAGAAGAGAAAUGUUUCAUCCAAUAAAUUUGGGAGUUUUUGGUUAAUCCUGCUUGUGGCAUCUCAUUUAUGUUGCAUUCUUGCCCCUAGAUGGGACGUAACAAUGUACAUUGUCUCCUAGCUCUUUUAAUUUCAGGAGGAAAUUCUGUUUAUGAUAUUUUAAGGUGCAAGAAUGUGAUGUCAUAGUUUUGUACAGGUAUCAG